rnacentral:misc_RNA from 1 species
GAUGAAGAACGUAGCGAAAUGCGAUAAGUAAUGUGAAUUGCAGAAUUCAUUGAAUCAUCGAGUCUUUGAACGCACAUUGCGCCCCCUGGUAUUCCGGGGGGCAUGCCUGUCCGAGCGUCAUUGCUGCCCUCAAGCACGGCUUGUGUGUUGGGCUCCGCCCCCCUCCCGGGGGGCGGGCCCGAAAGGCAGCGGCGGCACCGCGUCCGGUCCUCGAGCGUAUGGGGCUUUGUCACCCGCUCUGUAGGCCCGGCCGGCGCCCGCCGGCGACCCCAAUCAAUCUUUCCAGGUUGACCUCGGAUCAGGUAGGGAUACCCGCUGAACUUAAGCAUAUCAAUAAGCGGAGGA